GACGAACGCUGGCGGCGUGCUUAACACAUGCAAGUCGAACGGAAAGGCCCCUUUGGGGGUACUCGAGUGGCGAACGGGUGAGUAACACGUGAGUAACCUGCCCUUGACUUCGGGAUAACUUCAGGAAACUGGGGCUAAUACCGGAUAGGAAUCCUUGCUGCAUGGUGGGGGUUGGAAAGCUUCGGCGGUUUUGGAUGGACUCGCGGCUUAUCAGCUUGUUGGUGGGGUAGUGGCUUACCAAGGCUUUGACGGGUAGCCGGCCUGAGAGGGCGACCGGCCACAUUGGGACUGAGAGACGGCCCAGACGCCGACGGGAGGAAGAAGUGGGGAAUAUUGCACAAUGGGCGGAAGCCUGAUGCAGCAACGCCGCGGGCGGGAUGACGGCCUUGGGGUUGUAGACCGCUUUCAGCAGGGGCGAAGCUUGUGGUGACGGUACCUGCAGAAGAAGCACCGGCUAACUACGUG
rnacentral:rRNA from 1 species